UUGUUCUCCUCCCAUUGGUUUCCUAGAAGGUCCUCCACCAGGUUCAACUUCCUAGAAGGUCCUCCACCAUCUUCUCCCAACGACUCCUGUUUCCUAGAAGGUCAUCUCUCCCCUGGAAGGAACCACUCUAUGCUCUUCUUGGUUUCCUCGAUGUUCUUCCAACGACUCCUGUUUCCUAGAAAGUCCUCCACCAUGUUCAACUUCCUAGAAGGUCCUCCACCAUCUUCUUCUCCCAACGACUCCUGUUUCCUAGAAGGUCAACUCUCCUAGAAGGUCCUCCGCCGUGUUCCUAGAAGGUCCUCCACCGUCUUCUCCCAACGGCUCCUCUUUCCUAGAAGGUCAACUCUCCUGGAAGGUCCUCCGCCGUGUUCAACUUCCUAGAAGGUCCUCAACCAUCUUCUCCCAACGGCUCCUGUUUCCUAGAAGGUCAACUCUCCUGGAAGGUCCUCCACCAUGUUCAACUUCCUAGAAGGUCCUCCACCAUCUUCUCCCAACGGCUCCUGUUUCCUAGAAGGUCAACUCUCCUGGAAGGUCCUCCACCAUGUUCAACUUCCUAGAAGGUCCUCCACCAUCUUCUCCCAACGCCUCCUGUUUCCUAGAAGGUCACCUCUCGACGCUCUUCCUGGUUUCCUAGAAGGUCACCCCUCCCCUCGGUCCUCCAAGAUGUUCCUGUUUCCUAGAAGGCCCCCUCUCCCCUCGGCCCUCC